CCUACGGGAGGCAGCAGUGGGGAAUAUUGGACAAUGGGGGCAACCCUGAUCCAGCCAUGCCGCGUGUGUGAAGAAGGCCCUCGGGUUGUAAAGCACUUUCAGUGAGGAAGAACGCCUGGUGGUUAAUACCCAUCAGGAAAGACAUCACUCACAGAAGAAGCACCGGCUAACUCCGUGCCAGCAGCCGCGGUAAUACGGAGGGUGCGAGCGUUAAUCGGAAUUACUGGGCGUAAAGCGCGCGUAGGUGGCUUGAUAAGCCGGUUGUGAAAGCCCCGGGCUCAACCUGGGAACGGCAUCCGGAACUGUCAAGCUAGAGUGCAGGAGAGGAAGGUAGAAUUCCCGGUGUAGCGGUGAAAUGCGUAGAGAUCGGGAGGAAUACCAGUGGCGAAGGCGGCCUUCUGGACUGACACUGACACUGAGGUGCGAAAGCGUGGGUAGCAAACAGGAUUAGAUUACCCGAGUAGUC
rnacentral:rRNA from 1 species